AUUGAACGCUGGCGGCAGGCCUAACACAUGCAAGUCGAGCGGAUGAAGGGAGCUUGCUCCUGGAUUCAGCGGCGGACGGGUGAGUAAUGCCUAGGAAUCUGCCUGGUAGUGGGGGAUAACGUCCGGAAACGGGCGCUAAUACCGCAUACGUCCUGAGGGAGAAAGUGGGGGAUCUUCGGACCUCACGCUAUCAGAUGAGCCUAGGUCGGAUUAGCUAGUUGGUGGGGUAAAGGCCUACCAAGGCGACGAUCCGUAACUGGCCUGAGAGGAUGAUCAGUCACACUGGAACUGAGACACGGUCCAGACUCCUACGGGAGGCAGCAGUGGGGAAUAUUGGACAAUGGGCGAAAGCCUGAUCCAGCCAUGCCGCGUGUGUGAAGAAGGUCUUCGGAUUUUAAAGCACUUUAAGUUGGGAGGAAGGGCAGUAAGUUAAUACCUUGCUGUUUUGACGUUACCAACAGAAUAAGCACCGGCUAACUUCGUG
rnacentral:rRNA from 1 species